GCGUGCAAAGUGAACAAACUUUAGAACUUGAAAUAGAAUAAAGCUGUUUAACCAACAUGACAGCCAUACUCAAGUUAAAAUGCUAACAUCAGGACGUCUUGUUUAUCCUACCUUAUGGCCCCAAAAGAGAUAAGAGAAACUGAGACAAUACAAACCAAUAAACGCCACAGCACGAUUUUUAAAAGUACUAAUAGUGCAAACUCACAGACCUUGUCUUUAAACAGGAUAAUUAUUUCCAUCAUGAGAUUAUAAGGAAGAAUCUUGCCAGGAAAUAUUUUGCAGAUGAUUGCAACUCUAUCGGAAAACCAUCCUCCAAAAAUGAGAGAUCUAACAUAAACAAGGAUCAAAGAGGUGAACAAACCUUCGAAAGUUCAGGAUCAAAACAGCACAUAAUGGCAUGAACGUGAUGAACGUGAAUAUGCGCUGUAUUGAUCCUAAUCACGUUCAUCCUGUU
rnacentral:lncRNA from 1 species